rnacentral:lncRNA from 1 species
CACAUUUUUAAGACGAUGUUUGUCAGUCUAAUCUCCAGUCGAUGGGCUCUCAGGCAGUAUAACAAAUGAGCUGAAAAUGUUUUCAGUGCAAUACGGGAAAGUAUUCUUAGGGCAAAUCCAGACUGAGGGUCAGGGCAGCCUGGGGAAUGUCCCAAAGGUCAGAUUCCCGAAGUUGUUCCUGACAUUCCAAGCUGCUGCCUUUUCUGUGGCAUUGGUUCAGAAUGUAUUUGCGAAGGUUCUAAUUCUUCUCAUAGUGACAGCUUUGGCAAGGGUGGGUGGAGCUGGUAGGUUUAAGUGCAGGUGGGUUUAUGUAAUCCAGGGAUUAUGUACAUAAUAGAAGUAUGAACUGCUGGAGUGUAAGGGCCGUUUGAGGCAAGCCAGCCUGGGGCCCUCUCCUUAUCAGUGAAAAUAUUAAUUGCCUGCAAUUAGAGAUGAUAUUUCACAUUCACUCAGCAUAAAUUAUUUCAUCAAAUACAUACUCUUUGAUCCUGUAGGUGGAUAAAAUAAAUACUGCUUCUCAUCCUGCCAGAGAGCUUAUUACCUCCUUGACAACAGCCACGUCUGCUCUUUCACAGGGAUACCGGCUCCUUGAUGGUGCUCCUCCAUCUAACUUUGUUUAAUUUAACGCCAAUGAGGACCAGGUGUGAUUUGAAACAUCCUUCCAACCCCUGAAAGGGUGACAUACAUUCCAUUUGGCCCAGGACAGUCUCCAUAUGUGCCUACUGAACGAAGGUGGUAAUUAACAAGGCCUCCUUCACUCUCCGAAGGGACCUGACUGGGAGAUAAACUCAGAGAUCACUGAUUUGUAAUCCUCAAGGAGGACGGAGACAACGCCCAGGUGGCCAUGGGCACCCUUGAAAGACCGCCUAGUUUGAAACUACACGAAGGAGACUCUUUCUUUUCGUUCCUACCCAGCGCUCAAUAGCUGUGUGACCUUGGCAAGUGAUCGUCCCUGAGCCUCCAUCCCUGUCUUUAAAGUGGAGAUAAGGAUGCCAGUCUCAGAAACUGUUCUGAGGAUUAAAUACCCAGAGCCUGGUGCCUGGAGCCUGGACCCCGGAGCCCGGAGCCUGGCGUGGGCUAAGUGGUCCUGAAGUGGAAGUGAGUUUUUGUUUGUGGCUCUUUGUUCUUUCCCCUGUGGGUCCACGGUGGUUGGCUGAAUAAAUUAGAUUCUCCCCUGCCCCAGACUCUCAAGUCAUUAAAGCUCUUCAUUGAUCA